rnacentral:rRNA from 1 species
UUGAAGAGUUUGAUCAUGGCUCAGAUUGAACGCUGGCGGCAGGCCUAACACAUGCAAGUCGAACGGUAACAGGAAACAGCUUGCUGUUUCGCUGACGAGUGGCGGACGGGUGAGUAAUGUCUGGGAAACUGCCUGAUGGAGGGGGAUAACUACUGGAAACGGUAGCUAAUACCGCAUAACGUCGCAAGACCAAAGAGGGGGACCUUCGGGCCUCUUGCCAUCGGAUGUGCCCAGAUGGGAUUAGCUAGUAGGUGGGGUAACGGCUCACCUAGGCGACGAUCCCUAGCUGGUCUGAGAGGAUGACCAGCCACACUGGAACUGAGACACGGUCCAGACUCCUACGGGAGGCAGCAGUGGGGAAUAUUGCACAAUGGGCGCAAGCCUGAUGCAGCCAUGCCGCGUGUAUGAAGAAGGCCUUCGGGUUGUAAAGUACUUUCAGCGGGGAGGAAGGGAGUAAAGUUAAUACCUUUGCUCAUUGACGUUACCCGCAGAAGAAGCACCGGCUAACUCCGUGCCAGCAGCCGCGGUAAUACGGAGGGUGCAAGCGUUAAUCGGAAUUACUGGGCGUAAAGCGCACGCAGGCGGUUUGUUAAGUCAGAUGUGAAAUCCCCGGGCUCAACCUUGGGAACUGCAUCUGAUACUGGCAAGCUUGAGUCUCGUAGAGGGGGGUAGAAUUCCAGGUGUAGCGGUGAAAUGCGUAGAGAUCUGGAGGAAUACCGGUGGCGAAGGCGGCCCCCUGGACGAAGACUGACGCUCAGGUGCGAAAGCGUGGGGAGCAAACAGGAUUAGAUACCCUGGUAGUCCACGCCGUAAACGAUGUCGACUUGGAGGUUGUGCCCUUGAGGCGUGGCUUCCGGAGCUAACGCGUUAAGUCGACCGCCUGGGGAGUACGGCCGCAAGGUUAAAACUCAAAUGAAUUGACGGGGGCCCGCACAAGCGGUGGAGCAUGUGGUUUAAUUCGAUGCAACGCGAAGAACCUUACCUGGUCUUGACAUCCACAGAACUUUCCAGAGAUGGAUUGGUGCCUUCGGGAACUGUGAGACAGGUGCUGCAUGGCUGUCGUCAGCUCGUGUUGUGAAAUGUUGGGUUAAGUCCCGCAACGAGCGCAACCCUUAUCCUUUGUUGCCAGCGGUCCGGCCGGGAACUCAAAGGAGACUGCCAGUGAUAAACUGGAGGAAGGUGGGGAUGACGUCAAGUCAUCAUGGCCCUUACGACCAGGGCUACACACGUGCUACAAUGGCGCAUACAAAGAGAAGCGACCUCGCGAGAGCAAGCGGACCUCAUAAAGUGCGUCGUAGUCCGGAUUGGAGUCUGCAACUCGACUCCAUGAAGUCGGAAUCGCUAGUAAUCGUGGAUCAGAAUGCCACGGUGAAUACGUUCCCGGGCCUUGUACACACCGCCCGUCACACCAUGGGAGUGGGUUGCAAAAGAAGUAGGUAGCUUAACCUUCGGGAGGGCGCUUACCACUUUGUGAUUCAUGACUGGGGUGAAGUCGUAACAAGGUAACCGUAGGGGAACCUGCGGUUGGAUCACCUCCUU